AUUUCUCCGUAAUGAUGGACUCAAUGGAUAGACGCAACUAGCUGUUUCUGCUACAGAACUCCGCCACCAAAUAAAGAAGAGAAGGCAGAGUAUGGGUAUAGACUGCGCGCUGUUUACAAACAUACAGUUGAAGAAGAAACUAAGAACCGUAACCUAAGGAACAGCAGCCAUUUAAAACCUAAUAUUACCCCAACCUGAUAUUGGUGAAACACAACACUGCCAACGUUUAAUACAACGAGCUAUGUGUAAGACGGGUCAUUUUCAGGGACGUAAUGACUUCAAGACAGGGGUAGGAAUGCUUAUUGACUAUCAGGUAAUUUAAUCACAGGCUGGAGCCGUCAAAUAUCAAUUGCAACACUAGCUCUGGGUCCACUGGUGGAUCUAACGCCAUUAUUUACGGCUGUCAUCGCUCGACAUGAAAUCUGUCCCAAUCUGGCAACCGUGCCCAGAGCUAACUGUGUUGGCUAAAGUCCUUACCAUGGUUAUCAGCGCUAGCCCAGGAGGACAGCAGACCUUACCGUGAGGACAUAAACCGCUUCUGCUGGGUCUUGUUGGGCAGUCCACAGGCUAGACAUUGGAGCCGAGGUCUGGUCACCUCGAACCCGUAGCUGUUGUCAACAAUACUCAGUAUUCUGUGAGCUUGUCUCUUGUUUAAAGUGUUAACAGUGGCUAAUAACCCUCGACGUAGUGCGCAGGCGGCCAUCUUUAUCCUGUCUUCUCCACCGUGCACGGUCUGCUGUUCAUGUCCUCCACGCGCAGGAAUGCACACGGAGACGCGCGCACUGGAACCGCGCGGUCACGCGCAUGACGCAGCGAGAAACACAAACGCGAAUGUAUGAGUAAUGUUUUUUAUUGAGUUUAAUUACAUUUAAUGUUUGAUAUUUUGUACCCAUUCUCUAGGGUCUGAAAAGGAAUCAUUUACACAAAAACUACAACGUCUAAUCUAAGUAAGACAUUGAAGACCCGUUUGGUGUGAGGUCCGAAAUAAAAUAAAAACAGCUUCAUCAUAGUUUACUAAAAUCUCCCAUUGCACCUUUUCGAGAAAAAUGCCAGUGAACUCAGCAAAGAACAGAGGGAGUUUGCCAUCACAUUACACCUGCAUGGACCCAAGGCAUACCGCUACCUCAGAAACACGCUGCAACUUCCUCUCCCUCAUCCACGCUCAUUGCAGGAGGCUGGAAUAACAACCUAACUGCUGGAGAGUUCCAGGGUAUCUUCCACAAGCUCAUCAUGUAUAGAUGUGGUGUCAAGCCGGUGGAUUCUGGCAACGUGAGAGGACAGGAUGCCACUGUCACCCUGUCAGCUGAGCACUACACCAGAGUCUCCCUUUCCGCUGCUGAGAUGUCCUCUGCAGAUGCCGCCACUGCUGUAGAGCUGGUUUCUCCAUUCCUGAACAUUUCUGCCCUUGUAGGGAACCACAGCUACCUCCCAACUCGCUUUGGUGCUCUAGUAGACAACGCACUGGUCUACAUUGCUGGGUUCGUUGUCCGGUGUAUUUUUCGCAGCCUGUCCUGUGUUGUGUGCUGUUCCAGCCUGGUGACAGAUACUGUAGCUGUCCCAUUUGACCAGAGCUACCAUCUGCUGGAACUUCGUAAUAACGGUGGGCUGAUGAUUCCUUCAAAGGGAACUGUAAAGGUGGUGAGAGCUGCGGAGAGGGCAAUACGUCAACUGUCGUGGAAAUAUCAAUCAUAACUAUAAAUAUACAAUCACAUACAAAUUAUAUUAACCUUGUUUAUAUAAUUAUUACAUUCUAAGGAACUGUAUACAUUCUCCCUGUAACUUAAGUUAAUUCGUAUUCAAGCUCCCACUGGAGCCAGGAAGUCUGGUUUUGUGACCAGGCCAAUCGACUGACUUCUUUGUUGUGUAAACUCGUUUAGAGCCAAUUCUGUAGACAUGUCCAAUACCCACCCAUUGUAUUACAAAUUGACUUGUCCUAAGGUCACUCCCACUUCCUUCCCACAAUGUUAAUGUUCCCUAUAAGAAUCUUGUGAAUCUAUUGUCUCGUCGAAUGUGUUCUUGGUAAACUUUGCUGCCGGUACUUUUCCCAUGAUCAUGCUUUAAGAUUAAAUCAAAUAUUUCGCUGUCCGACGUGUCCGUGAGAGAACUUUCUCUUCAUCACUCUUCAGGGAAAGCCCCUGAUGUAGCCCACUUUGUCAGAGAGGAAAUCGGGACAGAGGACGUCUUUGCACUGGGGAGCCAUGUCCAAGAAAGCCAGUUUGGCAUUGACAAUCACCUGUCCCUCCUCCUGUCGCUGGUUGUCUCUGCCUAACGCGAAUACGGCUGCAUCAUAUCGCCAAAUUAACCUCGCUUACCUGGCAGAGAUGAAAUUCCCGAAAAAAACUCGAAAAAACCAUCCUGAUUCAGGGAUUUUCAAAACGACAGAUAUAGUUACAUAUAUAUAUAUAUAUAUAUAUAUAUAUAUAUAUAAAUAUAGUAUUAAAUGUAUAAUUGUAAACAUACUGUACCAAACUACCUUAGGAUUAUAAAUCAAUACAAAUUAUAUAU